rnacentral:sRNA from 1 species
CAACAACUGAAAGGAGGUGGUCCAGUGUCUACAGAGGUAUUGGAGCGAGGUGUCGGAACAGUUUUGGAGACCUGUGCCUGAGGCAGCCCUUGGGUAACUGAGAACCUGAAUUGGUGUGCCACCUAACCGGCCCGCCUCCGAAAAGCUCUAGAGGGCCGUCUCGCUACCGAGGCGGCCC